rnacentral:rRNA from 1 species
AGAGUUUGAUCCUGGCUCAGGACGAACGCUGGCGGCGUGCUUAACACAUGCAAGUCGAGCGGAAAGGCCCUUCGGGGUACUCGAGCGGCGAACGGGUGAGUAACACGUGAGCAACCUGCCCCUGGCUCUGGGAUAGCUCCGGGAAACCGGGAUUAAUACCGGAUAUGACCUGCUUACGCAUGUUUGCGGGUGGAAAGUUUUUCGGCUGGGGAUGGGCUCGCGGCCUAUCAGCUUGUUGGUGGGGUGAUGGCCUACCAAGGCGACGACGGGUAGCCGGCCUGAGAGGGCGGGCGGCCACACUGGGACUGAGACACGGCCCAGACUCCUACGGGAGGCAGCAGUGGGGAGUAUUGCGCAAUGGGCGGAAGCCUGACGCAGCGACGCCGCGUGGGGGAUGAAGGCCUUCGGGUUGUAAACCUCUUUCACCAGGGGCGAAGCGAAAGUGACGGUACCUGGAGAAGAAGCGCCGGCUAACUACGUGCCAGCAGCCGCGGUAAUACGUAGGGCGCAAGCGUUGUCCGGAAUUAUUGGGCGUAAAGAGCUCGUAGGCGGCCAGUUGCGUCUGCUGUGAAAUCCCGGGGCUUAACCCUGGGCGUGCAGUGGAUACGGGCUGGCUGGAGGCAGGCAGGGGAGAAUGGAAUUCCCGGUGUAGCGGUGAAAUGCGCAGAUAUCGGGAGGAACACCGGUGGCGAAGGCGGUUCUCUGGGCCUGUUCUGACGCUGAGGAGCGAAAGCGUGGGGAGCGAACAGGAUUAGAUACCCCCGUAGUCC